rnacentral:rRNA from 1 species
GACGAACGCUGGCGGCGUGCUUAACACAUGCAAGUCGAACGGAAAGGCCCUGCUUUUGUGGGGUGCUCGAGUGGCGAACGGGGGAGUAUCACGUGAGUAACCUGCCCUUGACUUUGGGAUAACUUCAGGAAACAGGGGCUCAUACCGGACAUGAGCUCCUGAUGCAUGGUGGGGGUGGGUAAGAUUCGGCGGUUGGGGAUGGACUCGCGGCUUAUCAGCUUGUUGGUGGGGUAGUGGCUUACCAAGGCUUUGACGGGUAGCCGGACUGGGAGGGUGACAGGCCACAUUGGGACUGAGAUAGCGCCCAGACUCCUACGGGAGGCAGAAGUGGGGGAUAGUGCAAGAAGGGCGGAGGCCUUAUGCAGGAACGUCGGGUGGGAGAUGACGGCCUUCGGGGAGUAAACCGCGUGCGCGUGGGACGAAGCGUGAGUGACGGUAAUGGGUAAAGAAGCACCGGCUAACUACGUG